rnacentral:rRNA from 1 species
AUUGAACGCUGGCGGAAUGCUUUACACAUGCAAGUCGAACGGCAGAGGGGGCAACCCCUCGAGAGUGGCGAACGGGUGAGUAAUAUAUCGGAACGUGCCCAGUCGUGGGGGAUAACGUAGCGAAAGUUACGCUAAUACCGCAUACGACCUAAGGAUGAAAGCGGGGGACUCGCAAGAGCCUCGCGCGAUUGGAGCGGCCGAUAUCAGAUUAGGUAGUUGGUGGGGUAAAGGCUCACCAAGCCAACGAUCUGUAGCUGGUCUGAGAGGACGACCAGCCACACUGGAACUGAGACACGGUCCAGACUCCUACGGGAGGCAGCAGUGGGGAAUUUUGGACAAUGGACGCAAGUCUGAUCCAGCCAUUCCGCGUGCAGGAUGAAGGCCCUCGGGUUGUAAACUGCUUUUGUACGGAACGAAAAGGUUUCUAUUAAUACUAGGAGCUCAUGACGGUACCGUAAGAAUAAGCACCGGCUAACUACGUGCCAGCCGCCGCGGUAACAC